rnacentral:rRNA from 1 species
UACGAGGGGGGCAAGCGUUGUUCGGAAUUAUUGGGCGUAAAGAGCUCGUAGGUGGCUUGUCACGUCGGGUGUGAAAGCUUGGGGCUUAACUCCAGGUCUGCAUUCGAUACGGGCUGGCUAGAGGUAGGUAGGGGAGAACGGAAUUCCUGGUGUAGCGGUGAAAUGCGCAGAUAUCAGGAGGAACACCGGUGGCGAAGGCGGUUCUCUGGGCCUUACCUGACGCUGAGGAGCGAAAGCGUGGGGAGCGAACAGG